AUUUUGGUUGAUCCUGCCAGUAGUUAUAUGCUUGUCUCAAAGAUUAAGCCAUGCAUGUCUAAGUACACACGAAUUAAAAGUGAAACCGCAAAAGGCUCAUUAUAUCAGUUAUGGUUCCUUAGAUCGUUAACAGUUACUUGGAUAACUGUGGUAAUUCUAGAGCUAAUACAUGCAAUUAAAACACGGACCUUCUGGGACGUGUGCUUUUAUUAGACUAAAACCAAGCGAUCAAUUGAUCGUUAUAUUGGUUGAACUCUAGAUAACAUGCAGAUCGUAUGGUCUUGUACCGACGACAGAUCUUUCAAAUGUCUGCCCUAUCAACUUUUGAUGGUAGUAUCUAGGACUACCAUGGUUGCAACGGGUAACGGGGAAUCAGGGUUCGAUUCCGGAGAGGGAGCCUGAGAAACGGCUACCACAUCUAAGGAAGGCAGCAGGCGCGUAAAUUACCCACUCCCAGCUCGGGGAGGUAGUGACGAAAAAUAACAAUACAGGACUCAUAUCCGAGGCCCUGUAAUUGGAAUGAGUACACUUUAAAUCCUUUAACAAGGACCAAUUGGAGGGCAAGUCUGGUGCCAGCAGCCGCGGUAAUUCCAGCUCCAAUAGCGUAUAUUAAAGUUGUUGCGGUUAAAACGUU
rnacentral:ncRNA from 1 species